CUCAGCCAGUGCCCUGAGAUAAAGAGCUCCCAGGAAAACUGGAAUUUAAAUGAUACAAAAAAGUGACCUGGAUGACAUCAACCAUGGAGCUCCUGGCAUGGCCUCCAAGGAGGGAGGUUAUGGAUCAGAUACAGAGGCUCAAACAUGGCUCUUUUUUCUCUGGCAUCAUUGCUCUUCUUGUUUAAGCAGCUCAGGGUGGCUCUGAUCCUGUGCUAAUGGAAAAAUUGUGGUUAAUGUAGAACCCUGUGUGCCAUGGGGUGAACCUGAGGUUCUGAACAUCCAGGAACACUUUGAGGAGCUGGAAGGUAAAGGGCAGAAAACCAGCACACUUCAGGGCAGGCAUGCUUGCCAAGGUGGGUGCAGACUGAAGAGUUGCAUUCACCUCCAGGUGAGCCUCCAGGUUCUAAAUCUCUAAGGUGUCUUGGGGGCAAGAGCUCGAGCACUGUACUGAGUGCUCCUGACAGUCUUUGCUUUGAAGAUUUCCCCUGUGAACCCAGCCAGGGGAGAAGGUCUACAGUGGGGAAUGUGUGCUCUGACAAUGGGGAGAUGGAGACAGGGAGAGCUGGGCUUGGGGUUGCCACAGAAAGCUCUUGGGAGUGAGCCCAGGGAGGCAGCAGAGCCCUGGGUCUGCAUGCCCAGGCAGUAUUUGUGGUGGGGGGAGUGAACAACCACAGGAUGGGGCAGGGGUUUGUGGAGGGGAAGAGUUGGAGCAUGGUGAGAGGGAGCCUCUUAUCUCUUUCCUCGUGGCCCUGGCUGUUUCCUUCCAUUUCUGCAUCAGGACCUUCCCCUGCCCACCAGCCCUCAGCACCCUUGCAGACCCCACUCUGUGGAGAAAGGAACUCUGGUUGAAGCACAUGCAGGAGAAUGAAUGUCAAAAAUGUUGAAACUCUGCCCAGCUGGCAUGAUGUAAUCCCAGCAAGUGCUCUGAUCUGCAGGCUACAAUAAAUAUAUCCUGGGAUGGGCCGUUUACAGUUUCCUGGAAUUGGAAAGACCUAUCUCAAGACUCAAAAUUAUUCCAGUUUUUCCCAGUGAUAACACAGCAAAUUUUUUUUUAAUUAGACCAAACAAGACAGUGUGCUUGUUUUGGUGGGAAUGAAGGAAAUUGCAAAAACUUCACUUGUGGUCUUGGACUUUCCAUGCUCCUUGAAGGAGGACACAGACAUGUCACAAACAAUUUGCUGAGGGAAGUUCUGUGAGCUGCAGGCACUUGGCAGCUCUGACAGUUUUGCUGACAAGGGUGCAGACCUGCAGCAGCCUGAGCUCCUUGAAAAGGCCAAAGAGACCUGGACCCUCUCACAUGGGUCUUCACCCAGGGCACAGCAGAGCAGCUGUGGGACAGUCACAGGGCUGUGCUGACCCGGGCUGCCCUGGGGUCCUGCCCUCCUGGCCACUAACCCCCCAGGUCAAAUGGAAUCCAUGCACUUGAGACUGCUGGAAUCCUGCCAGUGAAGCUGGGGCUGAGAUCAGUAGCGAAAAAAAAAUGUGAGUUGUGUCUUCAAGUUCUUUAAUUUGCCCUUAGAGGGUCCAUCUGAGAGUGUGAAUGGACCUCCUGCCAAGUAGCCACCUGCAGAGCAGCAGUCAAGCCAAAGGGACAAGCAGCACGUGGCAGCAAGGCUGGCUGUGCCUCUCAUCUGGCCCUGGCCAGGAAAGUUUGCUCCAAACUUUCCUGGAAGGGAAGGCCAGGCCAGUGCCUGUGGCAGUGUGCUGCUGUGCCUCCAGCCCUUCUCAGGGGUAGGCAGGGGCUGCUGGGGGCCAACCCCACGUCCUGCCUGCCCCUGCCUGCCCCCAGCCCCUCCUGCUGCCCUCCAGCAGCUGGAACAGACCAGCAGGCAGGAGACAGGGACACCCUGGGGAUGGACACCAGCCCUCCAGGAGAAGCCAGCUGGAAGUGGAGGCUGCAGUGCAGUGACCUACAGAAACCUGGCAACGGACAGUAUCUGCUGGUGUUUCUUGUAAUGUCCAGAUGAAAGAUGUCAUUGUUUAAGAACUUAGCCCUGCCUCUUCUGAGGCUAUGUGAAGACUGAUUGGAUUUCUCACAUCUGCCUCUGUCUCUUCAACACAAGAGAAAGAAAACAAAAUGAACUUGAGGCUACUCCAAACAUUAACCCCUGUGACAUCUGACACCUGUGUGCCAGGAGAGAUGGGGGCAGGGGUCACCCUCUCAUCUCCUGGCCCUUGUCCCAUGCUGGUCCUCUGCCACAAAGCAGUCACUGGCUCUGGUCUCCAAGACCUUGUGGUCUGGACAAGGCUACCAGAAGGGAGAGAAGGGAUGUGGGAUGGAGGCCAAGCAAAGUGUGAUGGAUGAUGGUUGCACUUUCCAGUGUGGGGCUGUUUUGAAAGAGAUCAGCUAAACUCACAGUCCUGGAUUAGGGAAGAGAGGAGAGGACAUGACCAUCAGCAGCAAGAACAGAUUCAGAUGUUAUGGGUGAAGAAAGUAAUGAAAAGUGAAGAAAAACCUAAUCACUGAAGAUUGGAUGAAAUGCAGGCAACUGCUGAAGCCUUGCCUGGGAAGCCACGUCCUUCUGCCACUGACAAACAGCAAAAGCAGAGACACCAAGGAAGCCCCUGUCACCCCUGGAGCCAAAGAACAGGUGAGAGGGAAGCAGCACUGGCACAGGGGGCUGUGCUGGCACCACCAGGGACCUCAUCAGGAACAGGGACAAGUGAGCUGCCACCGUUGGGCUCUGCUGAUUCUGGGUCAGAACUUCAGAGCCAAAGCACCAGCCUAGGAAGAGAGCUCCUCCAGACAGGAUCCAGAAAGCAGUGACAGAGCUGGGAACUUCACAUCUGAUUUGCAAGAAAUGGGAUGGUUUGGGAUGGAAUGAGAUGGAAACCGCAACCCCCCUCUAACCAGUUUAGGGCAAAAAUGGGAAUUAUUCUGCUCCUUCAAUAAAUCAAUGAGUCAGAUACAUUUCCACAAAUGGCCAUCUGGCCACACUUAGCAGAGGAGCUCUGUGCUGGGCUGUGGUCUGUGGAAAUCAGGACUCUAGUAGAUGCACAGCAAAGAGAAAAGUCUCAUUAAUGUCUGCAUGAUGAGGGAGUCAUUUAAAGUUAUCUGAAAAAGAAAAUCUGAGAGGGAACAGGAGAAAUUUAUUGGAGAUGCAAAAGAAGAUGGGAAAUGCAUAAAGGGGAGUUUGGUCUUUAAGACAGACCCUAUUCAUGGACAGCCAGUCACAGUGAGCUGUUCAGGGGGCAUUAACAUCAUCCUUAAUGAUGAUGUUAAUGCCCCCUGAACAGCUCACUGAGAAGAUGAGCUAAUACAACUAUUUAAUUCCCUAACUGAUGGUAAGGGUAUAAAAAGCCAUUUCUAGAAGUGGAUUAAAUGAAGCAGACUAAACAGAAUGAUUUUUUAGACAUA